rnacentral:rRNA from 1 species
AUUGAACGCUGGCGGCAUGCCUAACACAUGCAAGUCGAACGCGAAAGUCCUUCGGGGCGAGUAGAGUGGCGGACGGGUGAGUAACGCGUGGGAAUCUACCCUGUAGUGGGGGACAACCCGGGGAAACUCGGGCUAAUACCGCAUACGUCCUANGGGAGAAAGAGGGCCUCUGUUUGCAAGCUCUCGCUAUGGGAUGAGCCCGNGUCCGAUUAGCUAGUUGGUANGGUAAAGGCCUA